GACGAACGCUGGCGGCGUGCUUAACACAUGCAAGUCGAACGGUGAAGCGCCUUCCUUUUUGGUGGGUGUGGAUGAGUGGCGAACGGGUGAGUAACACGUGAGUAACCUGCCCCCUUCUUCUGGAUAACCGCAUGAAAGUGUGGCUAAUACGGGAUAUUCUGGGUCUGUCGCAUGAUGGGUCUGGGAAAGAUAUUGUUUCGGUGGGGGAUGGGCUCGCGGCUUAUCAGGUUGUUGGUGGGGUGGUGGCCUACCAAGGCGGUGGCGGGUCGCCGGCCUGAGAGGGAGGACGGCCGCACUGGGGAUGAGCCACGGCGGGGACUCGUACGGGAGGCAGCAGUGGGGAGUGUUGGACGAUGGGAGCAAGGCUGAUGCAGCGACGCCGCGUGGGGGAUGGAGGCCUUCGGGUUGUGAACCUCUUUCGCCAGUGAAGCAGGCCUGCCUGGUGUGUGGGUGGGUUGACGGUAGCUGGAGAAGAAGCGCCGGCUAACUACGUG
rnacentral:rRNA from 1 species